CGUGAGCUUCCCGGAGGUGCUUUACGGCUGCGUUUGCAAAGCGCAGCGCCAAGUACUGGAGGGCGAGUCAGAAAGGUAGGAUCGCCCUCCCCACCCCUACAAGGUUACAGUCUACAGGAUGGACAGGGAGGGAACCGGGAACGCGAUAGUAAGCCGCGGUAAUGAAAGACCAUCAGGCUCUAAAUAGAUUGCAGGCUUCGUGAGCUGAGAGUUAAAAGAAGUAAUUCUCUCUGGGGAUCAGGGUAGGUGGUUGUGGAUUGAGCUCAGAAGCAUGGAUAGGAUUGAUGUUAGUUACCAAGAAAAAGGGAAAGUGUUCACAUUUACGGCACUUAGUUAUAUAGAUAAACUAUUAAAGUAUAAUUUAUUAAGCUCAGGGCAGUGGAUAAAGGAGCCAGAGCCCCUAACUACUUGUUGGGGCCGUUGAAGGCUUCAAGAAGGAAUUCAAGCUUGGGUAGGAUUUUGCAGGAAGAGAAGGGGAGAGUGUACAAAGCCCUGGAUGUAUGCAGAGUUCCGCUGAAGUAAACAGAGUGUCCGUUUUGUGUCAGGUAGAGUAUUCUUAGGUGGUGAGACUAAGUAUUCUGGCCAUAAAGAAGACCAAAGCACUGCCCUCAAGGAUUUUUAUCUCUGUGGAGACUUGAAUAUUUAAUGAUUAGAUGUAUUCUCAGGAUUCUCUGGGAGUCUCCUAGCUUUCAGGGACGUCUUCGCGGAGGCGGCAAUAAAGCAGAAAGUGUGAUUGGUAUAUUUGAAGAGCCAGUAAGUAGUAAAAAUGAUGUGGGUGGGUAACUGGGCAGGAGAUUGUAAAUUUAAGGGUAGUCAUACUUUCUGGCAGAUCUUGAAGGACUAUGGAAGUCAUGCCAAUCUGGGUAUAAGCAACUGUAAAAUAUUGCAAAAGAAAAGUGAUGUGAACAGACUUUUUAAAAAGAUAAAUUAGAUGGACAGAUGAAUAAAUAAGCUAGAGAAAGGAUAGCGAUGGGGACCAGUUCAGAGGUUGAAAUUGUAGCUCAUUAAUAUCAGUCAAAUGAGAAAUUUUGAGAUCCAGAGCUUUAAUGGUACAGGGAGAGGACAUCUGUUAGAGAUAUUUAAAAGAUGAGAGUGAAAGAACCUGCCUGCUGCCAGAGAUACCCUAAAUUUGAGAUUUGGGUAACUGUAAGGUAAGAUGUACAGGAGGAGGAGGAGCAGGGUUUCCAGGAGGAGGACGAUGAGUUCAGUUUUGGGGUCUUCAGUGGUUGGUGUCCUUAGUGAAAGAAUCUUUAGAAGGUAGAUGUUAGGGGCACCCGGGUGGCUCAGUCGGUUGAGCAUCAGACUCUUGAUUUCUGCUCAGGUCAUGAUCUCACUAUUGUGAGAUCGAGCCCUGAGUCAGGCUCUGCAUGGAGCCUGCUUGAGAUUCUCUUUCUCUCUCCCUCUGCCCUUCCCAUGCGCAUGCGUGCACAACUCUGUCUCUCUAAGAUGACUGACUGACUGACUGAAUGAAUAAAUAAAUAAAUAUAUAAAUAAAUAACAUUUUUAAAAAGAAGGAAGAUAUUAAAAGCUGCAUUCUAGAGGCACCUGGCUGGGUCAGUCAGAAGAGCCUGUGACUCUUGAUCUCUCGGUUGUGAGUUCAAGUCCCACAUUGGGUGUAGAGAUUAUAAAUAAGUAAGCAACCUUUUUUUUUUUACAAGGCCUAAUUCUAGGGAAUUGAGUAUGAAUGGGAGGUGAAGAGGGGGAGGCAGCAUGUGCAGCCUGCUUUUUGAAUGUGCUUCUGUCCUCUAGACCAGUAGCCUACAAGACAUGACACUUGGAAGUCUCUUAGAUCCCACACAUUCAGCUUAUUCAAUGUGGGAAGAUAUAAAAAAGAAAAUGUAGCAGUAAGUGUGUUGUAGAACCUAUAUGGUAGCUAUAUGGGUGUUCACUAUACAGUCUGUCAACUUUUCUGCAGUUUUGAAGUUUUUCAUAAAAUAUUGGGAAAGAUAAUAUCUCUACCCUCCAACUCUUCCUACCCCAGUGGGCCCCAUCUCAGUAAACAGAACCACCAUCUAUUCAGUUGUUUAGGCAAGAGACCUGGGAAUCACUUUCCUUCUCCCUUCUAUUCCAGGCAGUCACCAAAUCUCCUAAAUAGCUCUUAAAUCUGUCAACAGUGCGGGUGCCUGGGUGGCUCAGUCAGUUAAGCUUCUGACUUCAGCUCAGGUCAUGGUCUUGCAGUCUGUGAGUUCAAGCCCUGCAUAGGGCCCUGUGCUGACAGUUCAGAGCCAGGAGCCUGCUUCAGAUUCUGUGUCUCCCUCUCUCUCUGCCCCUUCCCUGCUCAUGCUCUGGCUGUCUCAAAAAUGAAUAAAUGUUGGGGCGCCUGGGUGGCUCAGUCGGUUAAGCGUCCGACUUCAGCUCAGGUCACGAUCUCGUGGUCCGUGAGUUCGAGCCCCGCGUCGGGCUCUGUGCUGACAGCUCAGAGCCUGGAGCCCAUUUCACAUUCUGUGUCUCCCUCUCUCUCUGCCCCUCCCCCGUUCAUGCUCUGUUUCUCUCUCUCUGUCUCAAAAAUAAACGUUAAAAAAAAAAUUAAAAAAAAAUGAAUAAAUGUUAAGAAAAAAAAAAGUUUAAAUCCAUCAACAAUGGAGUUGUACCUUAUACCAAAUUUAGGUUCUAAAAGCAGUACAUAAGGCAGAAGUUACAUAGUGAACAUAACCUUUGGAAAUCCCUUAAAUCACUCAGAAGAUACAGUGGCCAUAUUCUUAUGUGUACAACUCUGUACACAAAAUGUAUAUAUAAGUAUAUAUGUACAUAGUAAGGUACAGUAUGUGAUAAGGGUAUAUAAUAUAACAUUAAGGUAUUUUUAACUUCAUAAAAAAAGGGAGAUUGGGGCACUUUGGUAGCUCACUUGGUUGAGCACCGACUUUGGCCUAGGUCAUGAUCUCAGUUUUGAGCCCCACCGCGGAUUCUGUGCUGACAGCUCAGAGCCUAGAGCCUGGAGCCCGCUUCAAAUUCUGUCCCCCCACCUCUCUCUGCCCCUCCCCCUCUCAUGCUCUGUCUCUGUCUCUCAAAAAUAAAUUAAAAUGUAUAAAAAAUUAUUUUAAAAGUCCCCUUUUAUUCCUAGUUUGCUAAGAGUUUUGUUUUGGUUUGUUUUUAAAAAUUGUUAAUUUCUAGCCCCAAUAUGAGGCUCGAACUCAACCCUGAGAUCAAGAGUUGGACACUCUACCAACUGAGCCAGCCAGGCACACUCACUAAGAGUUUUGUAUCAUAAAUAUAUGUCAAAUUGUAUUAAAUAUUUUCCCUGCAGCUAUGGGGAGGAUGCAUGAUUUUUCUUGUUUGGUUUGUUAAUAUGGUAAAUUCAUUAAUUGAUUUUUUUUUAAGUUAAACUUAGCUUGUAUUACUAAAAUAAUAAUAAACACAACUUGGACAUGAUGUGUCAUUCGUUUUUAUAUAUUGCUGGAUUCAACUUCCUACUGUAUGUUUUAGAAUUUUUGUAUCAUUUUUCAUGAAUGGGAUUUACCUGUGUUUAUCUUCCUCAUACUGCCUUUAUCAGUUUUUAGUAACAAGAUGACAUAUUUCGUGGUUUUUAUGAGGUGGUCAGUUAGAUGCAGCCACAGAAGAGACAGAACGGGGGCAGGGGGGAACUCACAGGUCCUAGAAACAGGAGACACAAAGCCAUUUUUGUAGAUUAAAAAAAAAAACAAAAAACAAAAAACAAAAAACUUUCACAUUGGAAAGAUACCAAAGUCAGGAGGCAGAAGGGAUGUGAGAAGGUUUAGGCUACAGACUUUAUUGGGGUUUCUGGGGAAAAGGCAAGGCAGGGAAGGGUUUAGCACUGACUAGUUGGAAUAAUUUUGACCAGCUUUGGAUUAGAGGGCUGGUCCCUAGCUGCCUGGCACCUAGCCCUGGGAUGAUUAAGGCAGAGGAGUAUUGCCUCCUGGAGUGAAAAAGGCAGGACAGAGGAGGGACAGCUCUGGGAUGAUGCUCUCAGCUGGGCCAUCUCUUAAGAAUUGUCUCUCAGGGCGCCUGGGUGGUCAGUGGGUUAAGCAUCUGACUCUUGAUUUCAGCUCAGGUCACGGUCGGACUCUGUGCUGACAGCAUAGGGCCUCCUUGGGAUUCUCUGUCUCCCUCUCUUUCUGGCUCUCCCCUGCUCACGCUCUCUCUUUCAAAAAUAAACAUUAAAGAGAAGAAGAAGAAGAAUUGUCUCUCCCAAGCCGGAAAAAAUUCUUCUAGAAUGUCAAAACGUAGUAAUAUAUAGAAAGUUUUACGUUAUUUAAACUGGUGCAUUAUCUAGUUGAAUCCGUGGAACAGGUGAGCUCAGGGUCCUCCUAUUCCAUCUUCCCUUUCUUCAAAAGUUUUAAAAAUAUAUUUUAUAUUUUAUACAAAAAUUAAUAAUUUUUUAUAAAUAUUAAAUGUAAAAACAUAUUUACAAUAUAUUGUAUUGGGCUCAAAAUAAGUUGGCGAAAGUAAUUACUACUUUUCUCUGAAAGGGUUUGCACAAUACUGACCUCAUUGUCUUCUGUAAAUAUUUGAUAGUUUGAUAGAAGUUGCUGAGGAAGCCAUGUGGGACGGGGAAAAUUUUAAACUGGUGGUAAAUUCAUUUAAGUUACUGGUCUUUUCAGAAUUCCUAUUUUUUCCUUGGGUAUUUUAUAAAUUGUCUUUUUCCCCCUCGGGGAUGUAUCCAUUCCAUAAAAAUUUUCCAGUGCUUUAGUGUCAAGUUCCUAAUAUCCUCUUGGUUUCUUCUGAAGGUCUGCAGGGACUAUAGUAAUGCCCUGUUUUUCAUUUUCAUUCCUUACAGGGUUCAUUUGUGUCUUCUCUCUCUCUCUCUCUCUCUCUCUCUCUCUCUCUCUCUCUGUCUCUCCCUUUGUUUUCUUUUUCAUUUGACCAAAGGUUGAUCAGUUUCAUUAGUCUUCUCAUAGUACCAGCUUAUUUUAUUUUUAUUCUAUUGUGUGUAAUGUAUGCUUUCAAUUAUCUUUAUUAUUCCCUUAUUUCCAAUUUCAUCAAGUUUAACUUGCUGUUUUUCUACUUUUUGAUGCAUCUAAGUUCAUUAAUUUUCAAAUUUUCUUCUUUUCUGAUUUAACUAUGUAAGGCUAUAAAUUUCCAUCAAUAGCUUGUAACCCACAACCUUUGAUAUGUAAUAUUUUUUAAUUCUUUAUUUCAGGCUUUGUAAUUUAAUUCUGAUUUCUUCUUUGAUUCAUGAGUUAUUUAGAAGCAUAUUAUUUUAUUUCCAAACAUCUGGGGUUUUUUAGCUGUCCUUUUGUUUCUGAUGUCUAACAUAAUUGUGUCGUGCCUAACAAAUGAACUCUGGAUGAUUUUAACCCUUUGGAUUUGUUGAAACUCGCUUUAUGGCUUAGUAUAUGGUCACUUAUAAAUACUUUGUGUGUGUUUGAAAAGAAUGUGUAUUUUUGCAGUUUUUCAGAUAUAGUAUUCUUCAACGUUUAUUUAUUUUUGGGACAGAGAGAGACAGGGGAGGGGCAGAGAGAGAGGGAGACACAGAAUCGGAAACAGGCUCCAGGCUCCGAGCCAUCAGCCCAGAGCCUGACGCGGGGCUCGAACUCACGGACCGCGAGAUCGUGACCUGGCUGAAGUCGGACGCUUAACCGACUGCGCCACCCAGGCGCCCCCCAGAUAUAGUAUUCUUUAUAUUUGUUUGGUACAUAUAGUUAAUAAUAUUAUUCAAAUCUUCUAAAUCUUUACUGAUUUUCUUAUCUAUUGAAAGAGUAUGUGAAAAUCUCUACUAUGAUCAGGUAUUUGUUUACUUUAGUUUUUGCUUUAAAUACAUUGAGAUCAUGUUAUUGGGUACAAAAAAAUUAGAAUUAUUAUAUAUUCCUGGUAAAUUGAACCCUUGAACUUUUUGUUUCUUAAACCAUUGAACCUUUUUAUAAUUAUGAAGUAUCUUUAUCUUUAGUAAAGAGCAUAACAGUUGGAUCUAAAAAAAAAAAAAAAAGUCCUGGGACACCUGGGUGGCUCAGUUGGUUGAGCAUCUGACUUCAGCUCAGGUCAUGAUCUUACAGUUCGUGAGUUUGAGCCCUGUAUCAGACUCUGUGCUGACAGCUUAGAGCCUGGAACCUGUUUUGGAUUCUGUGUCUCCCUCCCUCUCUGCCCCUCCCCUGCUCACACAGUCUCUCUCCAUUUCUUUCUUUCUUUCUUUCUUCCUUCCUUCCUUCCUUCCUUCCUUCCUCCCUCCCUCCCUCCCUCCCUCCCUGGGAUGUAAUUCGCUUACCAUAUAACUCACUCAUUUAAAGUAUACAGCUAGGAGUGCCUGACUGGCUCAGUUGGUAGAACAUGCAGGUCUUGAUCUCAGGAUUGUGAGUGCGAGCCCCACAUUGAAUGUAAAAUAAAAAAAAGUAAAAUAAAUAAAUAAAUUAAUAAAUAAAUAAGUAUACAAUUAAAUGGGUUUUCAAAUUUUUUAAAUGUUUUUAUUUUUUUUUUAAUUUUUUUUUCAACGUUUUUAUUUAUUUUUGGGACAGAGGGAGACAGAGCAUGAAUGGGGAAGGGGCAGAGAGAGAGGGAGACACAGAAUCGGGAACAGGCUCCAGGCUCUGAGCCAUCAGCCCAGAGCCUGACGCGGGGCUCGAACUCCUGGACCGCGAGAUCGUGACCUGGCUGAAGUCGGACGCUUAACCGACUGCGCCACCCAGGCGCCCCAAUGUUUUUAUUAUUUUUAACAUUUAUUUAUUUUUGGGACAGAGAGAGACAGAGCAUGAACGGGGGAGGGGCAGAGAGAGAGGGAGACACAGAAUCCGAAGCAGGCUCCAGGCUCUGAGCUGUCAGCACAGAGCCCGAUGCGGGGCUCGAACUCACAAACAGUGAGAUCGUGACCUGAGCCAAAGUUGGAUACUUAACCAACUGAGCCACCCAGGCGUCCCUAAGUGGGUUUUUAGUAUAUUCACAAAAGUUGUGCAACCAUUGCCACAAAUUUUAGAACAUUUUUAUCAUCCCAGAAACAGACCCUUUAUCAUUUAGAUGUCACCUUCAUUCCCCGUAUCUACCCCCCAGCCCCUGCCUGUCACCCCUCAGUGACCAUUAAUCUACUUUCUGUUCUUAUAGAUCUUUUCCUAUUCUGUCAAUUCCACGUAAAAGGAAUCAUUCAAUAUGUCGCCUUUUAUGUCUACCUCCUUUUACUUAGCGUAUUUUCAAAGUCCAUCCAUAUUGCAGCAUAUAUCAGCACUUCGUUCCUUUUUAUGGCUGAAUAGUACUCCGUUGUGUGGGUAUAACACAUUUUAUCCAUUCAAUGGCUAAUGGACGUUUCAGUUCCAUUUUUUUUUUCUAUUAUUCUACCAUGAAUAUUCAUGUACAAGUUUUUAUGAGAACAAAUGUUAUCAUUUCUCUUGGGUCAUACCUAGGGGCAGAAUUUUGGGGUCAUAGAGUGAUCCUAUGUUUAACCUUUGAGGAACUACCAAAUUGUUUUCCAAAGUGACUGUACUGUUUUACAUUCCCAGCAGCAGUAUGUGAGGUUCCAGAUUUCCACAUCCUCAUCAACCUCGCUAUUAACUGUCUUUUCUUAUUUUAGCAUUCUGGUGGGUGUGAGAUGAAGUACUUUUCAUUGUAGUUUUGAUUUGCAUUUCCCUACUGGCUAAUGAUGGAUGUUGAGCAUCUUUCUAAGUGUUUAUUCGCCAUUUAUAUGUCUUCUUUGUUUGUUGUUUUAAUUGUUUUAAUGUUUCUUUAUUUAUUUUGAGAGAGAGAGCACUAGCAGGGGAGGGGCAGAGAGAGGGAGAGAAAAAAAUCCCAAGCAGGCUCCUUGCUGCCAGCGUGGAGCCCGAUGCAGUGCUUGGUCUCACUACCAUGAGAUCAUGACCUGAGCUGAAAUCAAGACUCAGAUGCUCAACCCACUGAGCCACCCAGGGGCCCCUGUGUGUCUUCUUUGGAUUAAUGUCUAUUCAAAUCCUUUGCCCAUUACUUAACUGGUUAUUUGUCUUUUUACUACUGAAUUGUAAGAGUUCUUUAUAUAUUCUCAUUAAAAGUCCUUUAUCAUAUAUAUGAUUUGCAAACAUUUUCUCCUACUCUGUAGAUUGUCUUUUCACUUAUUUGUUUUAAGUAAACUCUACCCCCAAUGUGGGGCUUGAACUCAUGACCCCAAGAUCAAGAGUUGCAUGUUCUACUAACUGAGCCAGCCAGGUGCCCUUGCGUUUUCACUUUCUUGAUGGUAUCCUUCGAAGCACAAAAGUUUUAAAUUUCAUAUAGUCUAAUCUAUUUUUUCUUUAGUUGUUUAUGCUUUUGGUGUUAUAUCUAGAAAACCAUUGCCUAACCUGAGGUCACAAAGAUUUAUUCCUGUGAUUGUUUUCUUCUAAGAAUUUUAUAUUUUUAGGUCUUUGUCCCAUUUAGAGCUGAUUUUUAUAUAUCACAUGAGGUAGGGGUCCACUUUUAUUUAUUUGUAUGUGGAUAUACAAUUGUCCCAGAAUUGUUUAUUGAAAAGACUUUUGUCCCUAUUGAAUUUUUGGCACCAUGUUGAAAAUCAAUUGACCAUAAAUGUGAGGUUUUAUUCUGGACUCUGAAUUCUGUUCCACUGACCUGUCUGUUUACCCUUAUGCCAUUACCACACUGUCUUGAUUCCUGUAGCUUUGGAGUAAGCUUUGAAAUCAAGAAGUGUGGGUCCUUUGAAUGUUGUGGCUUUUAAUUUUUUUUAAUGUUUAUUUAUUUUUGUAAGAGAGAGAGCAAGCAGGGGAGGGGCAGAGAGAGAGAGUGAGAGAGAGAGAAUCCGAAGCGGGCUUCAUGCCCAACACAGGGCUCUAACUCACAGACCAUGAGAUCAUAACCUGAGCUGAAGUUGAAUGCUUAAUCUACUGAGCCACCAAGGCACCCCUGUUGUGACCUUUAAAGGUAAUUUGUCUGUUUUAUUCUGACCGCUUUUACUAUUUUCUCCUUGUCUUUGCUUUUCUGCAGUUUCACUAAUGUGUAAGGCAGUGAAUUUUGUAUUUAUCCUGCUUAGGAUUUGUUGGAUUCUUAAAUGUAUGAUUUAAUGUGUUUCAUCAACUCUGGAAAUUUUUGAGCCAUUGUUUCAUCAAUUAUUGCCUAUGUCCAUUCUUUCCUUUCCUUUCGGACUCUGCUUAGACCUUUUCAUUGUGAUAUCAUGUCUCUUACCCGCCCCUCUGCAUUUUCUUUUUUUCCCAUUAUGCAUCAUUCUUGGUAUUUCCUUCUGACCUGUAUUCCAGUUCAUUAAUUUUUCCUUUACUAUUUCUAAUCUGCUGGUAAAAUUCUUUCAGUUCUUAAUUUUGGUUAUUGUAGUUUUAAGUUCCAGAAUUUACAUUGUUCCCCCUGUUUAACAUUUGUAAUAUCAUUUUUUUAAAUUUUUUUUUAACAUUUAUUUAUUUUUGAGACAGAGAGAGAGAGAGCAUGAACAGGGGAGGGUCAGAGGAAGAGGGAGACAUAGAAUCUGAAACAGGCUCCAGGCUCUGAGCUGUCAGCACAGAGCCUGACGCGGGGCUCGAACCCACAGACCGCGAGAUCGUGACCUGAGCCGAAGUCAGACGCUUAACCGACUGAGCCACCCAGGCGCCCCUGUAAUAUCAUUUUUUAAAGUUCCUAUUUCCCAGCCAAAUUUUCCAUUCUUGGAUUUUAUUGUUUUGUAAUCUGUGCUGAUCAUUUCAAUAUCUGGAGACCCUAUGAGUCCACUACUAUGACCUGUUGUACCUACUGUUCUUAUUCAUGCUGUCUGAUGUCCUUGGGUUAUCUUUGUGUACUGGACAUUGUUUUUGAAAGUUAUUUAUAGAAAUACCUUGAGGCUCAAGAUAAUAGUGUCUUUCUCUAAAAAGAACUUAUUAUUUACCAGCUCUUGAGGGCACUAGCAAUCCAGAACCACCUGACUUUGAAAUUUUCACCCUAGCCCCUCCAUGCAACCACAAUUGCAGUUCAGCCUUUUCCAGAGCAAAGCCCCAGGGCAUAAGCAACCUUCAGAAGAGACUUCACUUCUCCACUUUCCCCUCUUCAGUAUCUCAGCAUCACAAUUCAGCAAUUCCUCAAAUCUUGUUACUUCUCUGAUGCUUUUUUUAAGUUUAUUUAUUUUGAGAGAGAGAUAGAGAGAGAGAGAGAGAGAGAGAGCACACGCAAGCAGGGGAGAGGCAAAGAGAAGGAGAGAGAAUCCCAAGCAGUCUCUGCAUUGUUAACCCGGAGCCCAACGCAGGUCUGAACUCACGAACCAUGAGAUCAUGACCUGAGCUGAAACCAAGAGUCGACACUUAACCGACCGAGCCACCUAGACACCCCACUGAUGCUUUUAAGAUGACUUUUUAAAAGUUUAAGUUUUAUUGGUAUGAAGGUUAAUUUUAUUUGAAUUAUCUAGGUGUCCAUAUCCAGAAUUGGUAAACCCUUUAAUCCUCAUUUGAGGAGUCCGAUAAGCAGCAAUAUCUUCAGAGAAGGUAGGAUCCUCACUGUGCUACGGGAUCGAUCCUGGUUGGACUAAGCGAGUCAUGGUAACCCCCUUUUUCUAUGCCUGAGGUGGGCAUAUGACCCACUUUUGGGGGGAAAAAGAGAAAAACUCCUGGGAAUUUGUGGGUGAAUUCUUGUGCCCUUCUGAAAGAGAGCUGCUGGGGGACCAGAACCCUUUCUCUUCUUUGUGCUUCGGAAUGAUGUUGUGUAAGUCACGCUUGAAUCUAUGGCAACCCUUUUAUGACUGAGGGAAAAGCUAAGAAAUUUGUAGGGAUAUCAGUGAUAUUGAUAUUGAUAUUGUUGAGCUAUCUAAAAGCCCUGAAACUCUUUGCUUCUAGACCUUCUUCUUCUUCUUCUUGUUUUUUUUUUUUUUUUUUUUAAUGUUUAUUUUUGAGAGAGGGAGAGAGUGAGCAUGGAGGGCAGAGAGAGAGGUGGGAAGACAUAGAAUCUAAACCAGGCUCAAGGCUCUGAGCUGUCAGCACAGAGCCCGAUGUGGGGCUUGAGCCCACGGACCAUGAGAUCAUGACCUGAGUCAAAGUCGGACACUUAAUUGACUUGAGCCACCCAGGCGCCCCUUUGCUAGACUUCUUAAGGAAAUAAUAAACAUCCUUAUGGUUUCACUGUCGGUCAGAUUUUCUGUUGUGUGCAGCCCAAAGCAUUCCAAACUGACAUAUCAUCCUUCAGGACUCAGCUUGAAAGGCCACCACUUCAGGGAGGCCUUCCUGAAAUCCCCACAUCAACACAUUUAGUGUCCCUCAUCAUAUUUGUAAUUAUUUGUGGAAUGAUAGUCUUUUUCUCUGGGCUGUAAAGUUCGUGGGAACAGAGACCACAGUCGGGUCCUAGAGCCCAGCCCAAUGCCAGGCAUGGUAGCCUCUAAAUAAAUAAUUAUCCAAAAAAUAAAGGGUCAAGAGCCCAAGUACAUGGAGAAACUGGAUAAAAAUCCUGGAGGCUAUGAAUUAAAAUUUGUGCAAUUAUGUUUCUAACACAUGAAAACUUUUAAAGCUCAAAGAAUCAUUACAGAAGGGUUGGAGUGGCCAUCGUGAGAAAGGGUGUGAGUGUUUAUCUGGUACAAGUAAGAGCUGCCAAGUAGUGUUAAAGACCCAGCUGGGAUUAGACCCCAUAAAUGUGCAUUGGCAUAAAUCGGCAGAAUUAUGAGAUUUCUUCCAGCAGUGUUCAGCUGGCUAGAUGUGUGAGAGAAGUGGGUAAUUAAAUUGAUCCAAAGAUGGGGAUUCUCAGGAUGGACUGCUUUUUGUUCUGUUCACUAGUGAAGUAAAUAAAAGUAGCUAUGGAAUUUUAUGUAUUUACUUUUUUAUUUUUUAAGUUUAUUUAUUUUGAGAGAGAGAGAGAGAGAGAGAGAGAGAGUGAGCACAAGUGGGGGAGGGGCAGAGAGGAGCAACAGAAUCGCAAGCAGGCUCCGCGCCCACUGGCGCCCUUGGAAUUUCAUUUUUUAAUUUUUAUGUUUGUUUAUUUUAUUUUGAGAGGGAGAGAGAGUGUGUGCACGCAUGUGUGUGAGUAGGGGAGGGGCAGAGGAAGAAGGAGAAAAAGAGACAAUCCCAAUGCCGGUCUCAGUCUCACCAAGGUGAGAUCGUGACCUGAGCCCAAACGAAGAGUGCUUAACCGACUGAGCCACCCAGGCGCCCCUGACUUUUCACUCUCUCAAUAAAGUAAAUCUCUUAAAAUUCAAAGCCAUGCUCUUUUGUUCCAGACUGGAGAAUAUCCCCCGGCUGAAACACUCACCCCAGAAGUCUUUCCCAUCACCCACUUGCCCUGGAAAGGCUUGAGGAGGGGGGGGAUCUGUGAAUUUCUUAAGGGGUGUGAGUGUGUGUGCAUGCACACAUUUUCCUGGGGCGAGUGUUAAAGGGGUCUGUGAUCGAGAAAGGCAAGAACCACUGAUGUGGAGUUGGCUCCUAGGCACGGACCACUGUGUGGAUCAGGGCUUGAGUGGUGAGUAGUCCCAGCCCUUGCUUAUUGAAGAGAGGCCGUGUGGUACAGUGGUGGGCGUGCAGACUCCAAAGUCAGGCAUGGGCUAUGCCACGCAACUCCUUGGUUUUCUUCUCCAUAAAGUGGAAACGAUAAUCACAGUUCCUUACCUCAGAGGCCUGGAACAAAGAUUAAAUGAGUUAGUACAGGGGCACCUGGGUGCCUCAGUCAGUUAAGCUUCCAACUCUGGAUUUCAGCUCAGGGUAUUAUCCCAUGGUUCAUGAGUUCGAUCCCCACAUCGGGUUCUGCACUGGCAGGUGCAGAGCCUACUUGGGAUUCUCUCUUUCUCUGUCCCUCCCCCCCUUUCAAAAUAAAUAAACUUAAAACAUUUUUUUUAAAGGGGCACCUCGGUGGCUCAGUCAGUUAAGCGCCUGGCUUUGGCUCAGGUCAUGAUCUCACAGUACAUGAGUUCAAGCCCCAUGUCAGGCUCUGUGCUGACAGUGCAGAGCCUGAAACCUGAUUCAGAUUCUGUGUUUCCCUCUCUCUCUGCCCUCCCCUGCUCACACUCUGUCUCUCUCUCUCAAAAAAUAAAUAAACAUUAAAAAAAAAACUUAAAUUUUUUUUAAAUAAAUGAGUUAAAUGCAAAUGCUUAGCACCAUGCCUGGUAUUUAGUGAAAGCUGACUUUUAUUAUAGCUGAUUGAUGAUGAUGCAUUGGGACACACAUCCGAGGACAAAGACCUUGAAUCAGGAGGCAGCGUUUGAGGGUACACAGCUGCUGCUGAUUUGUGCAAAGCACACAAUCUAAGCAUUCUCUCCCCUCUGACACUGUGUGACUCAGGGCAAACUCCUUAGCUGCUCUGUGCCUCAGGUAUCUCACCUGUAAUAUGGAGAUAAUAAUAGUAACUGCCUCGUGGGACUGUUGCCGGGGUUCUCUGCAGGCUUAGAGCAGUGACUCCAAUUCAGUAAGUGCUUGGUUGUUUGUCUGAUUUUUUAGGUAGGCUCCAUGCCCAACGUGGGGCUUGAACUCAUGACCCUGAGAUUAAGAGUCACAUGUGCUACGACUGGGCUAGCCAGGCGCCCCACUGCUGGCAUUAUUAUUAUCACUGUCUAGGUACAUUCAGCCUCCUUAUUCUGAUAAGAGAGGCCCUUUCCAGGUGUUUCCCACAGCCUUCCCUCAUGCUGAAACCUUCACAGCUCACAGCACCUUCAUGCACACCAUGUCUGCCUCACAGAGGCUGUACACAGUGAAGAAUUAAGACUCAAAGGAAGUGACUAACCUAAGGUCUCUCCACCUGCCCUCUGCCUCAUCGUAUUCCCUUCCAAGAGUGUCCCCCCUGUCUCUCCCCAGUUUCCAUCUGUAGCAAUCCCACUCCUGAAACCCCACACCUUUCAUAAAGCCUUCUCAACUCAGAAUCCCUGCGUUGAACCCAACACACGACUCGUGGGUGCGUGUGCCUCACCGCCAGGCCUUCUUGCCCCUCUCACUGCACCUCUCUCCAUUCUUUGCACCGCGAAGGCUCUCGCCAGAGAGCUGCAGGAUGGAGGAGAUCAAAGACGACGGUUCUACUGGCCCGGGAUGUUCCCAUGUUCAAGGGAAGGAGGGAGGAGUCCCCAAAACACUGAUCUGCACUGAACACACAGACAAUGGCCAGACCAUAUGGGAAAACAGACCUCGGACAUCCACAGCCUGCAGAAACCCGCCCAGGAAAUCACCUCCUCAAAUACAGUAAACCACCCAGGUAAUCCAUAGGUCCCGUUUGUAACAAGUCAGACUAUGUCUAGGAACAAUUCAGAAAGCUAACCACUAACUUCUAGAAUAGUUGGCUCAAAAUGGCCAGAACUGACAACUUCCCUAACUUUUGUCCACUGUGCAACUUAGGACCAGCCAGAGAGUCAAAUAUGCACCCCCAACCAGUCAUACAGGAUGCCUGGCUUCUAGUCACCUGCCUUCCAGCUUCCCCACGCCAACAGCCUCCAGAGAAGGCACCAGGUACCUGAAUCUUUCCCAUUUCUCUGCUAUAAAUAAAGCUUUACCACCCCUCCACCUACCCUGGAGUCUCUUUUAAAAUGCAAGUGACCAUGGCUGACUGACUUCCCUUGCUGUAGCAAGCUCUUGAAUCAAUAGCCUUUGCUUUUCUCACUUGUUCGGGCUUCGUUUAUUGGCCCAGGAAUGGCAGCUCAGGGAGCGAGGCGAGGACGGGCCUCAUCAGUACCCUUGGUCCCACUGGGGUGGAGCUCAGAGCCCUCAGACGACAGAGUUGCUGGCUGGUCCGCUGGAAACACUGAUCAGACCUUUGGACUCAGCUGAGCCAGGGCUGGAGAUGCCAAAUUGACUCAGAUUAAAUCCCCCGGGCAUAAAAUCACAAAAGAGUUUUUGUUAGAUGCUGAUUGGGAAGGAGGGGCCCCAGAGAUCUGGGAAAAGGGUAGGACAUCUGGGAAUAGAGAAAUGAGGGAGAGGCAGGAACUUUGCCUAGAGCGGGAGCCAAGGAUGGCCUGGAGCUACUUUGAUGGGAUGGAGAGUUGAGUCACGAUUCAUAUCUGAUCUCCAAGAUUCUUUAGUCAAUGCAGAGACAUUUACUGAGUGCCCCCUUCUGGGCACUAGAGGUGGGACACGCAAGGCCUCUGACUUCCCGGAGCUCGUGUCCUGGUGGCAGGGGCGGUAGAUGGCUACAGAAGUCAGACAGCUUCAGAAGAGUAAGCGCACUGAGGAAAAUGAAAUGGGAUGGUGCCCUCGAGAAGGAGUGCCGAGAGCGGGGAACACACGAGAGUGGCUGGGGAGGGACACCAGAAGGAACCAGCACUGCAGCCAACAGGGGAAAUGGUUUUCCUAGCAGAGGGAGCAGCUUAAGCAAAGACCCUGAGCUGAGACCUGGGUGUGACAGAAAGGUCGGUGUGGCCAGAGCUGUGUGGGCAGAGGGUGAUCGUGGCUGGAGGGGACCAGGAGGGACGUUCAGGGACACCACGAGUAGAGGGCCUCCCAAGCCAUUCUAAGAGUUUAGAUUUUAUUUGGGCCUCAGUAUAACGGAGUUUUUGAAAGAAGGCACUGAACAGCUUGCUUGCUUAAGCUGCUCCAUCAAGGCCUUAGAAGCUCUCCUUUGUUGAAAUCUUGUCAAAUCCUGGCAGGCAGGGGAAGUGUGUAUGUGGGGUAACAGUGUUAAGGAGAGAAAAUGUGGAUCAGACCCAGACACGUCACAACCAGAAUUCCUUGCUGAGUAGGAUCAAAAGGGCCACAAGAGUGUGUUAUAAUCCCCUGAAAUUGCACACUAAUUUGUGUGUGUGUGUGUGUAUAUACCCUAUUUCAGUGAGUUUUUUCAAACUCUCAGAGGAAUCUCUGCCACCAGAAAAAGCCAGAAAGGGAGAAUAUUAACUUCUAUGCUAGCAUACCCAUGCACCAUCCCAGUAAGGACACAGAUACUGCCCCGAGGAGGGGAAGGGGGGGCGGGGCAGGACAGGGAACUUUCCACUGUGUACCAUGUGCUUUACCUAUUUUUAAAAGUCCACUUCAGUGUAAAGGACUGAAGCUGGAGAGGAAUGGAUGGGUGGGGAAGAAGGUGCCGAAGCCUUGGUGUGGCCAGGGAGGGGCAGCAACACAUAUCUGCUGGUCCUAACUUGACGGCCCCACCCCUAGCCUGUGCUCACAUGCCUUGCACUGGAGAACCCCGCCCAGAGAGGCCGCACUGGCCCUGAGCCUGCCCAGAGCUCAGCUGCCCAGGGGGCACCAGCCUCACUGCCCCGGGAGAGGGACAGGAACAGAUGCCCUCUGCUCAAGUCACCAAACUCUGCUCAGGUCACUGUCCUCUGCCCAUGUCCCGGGCCCCUCUGGUCCCCAAACCUUCACAGAGAGAAGCCCGAGCCUCCUGAACACCCUGCUGACCCCACCAGGAGCUCCUGGCUCUGAUCUGAACCCGCCUCUUUUCCCAGCCUCUUGGUUGGUCAUUUUGCUUUGAGUCAAGUCCCCCUUGCUCUGCUUUCGUGUGGUGCCGUGCCCAGCCCCAGCCUGGCAGAUGGGAGCUGAGAUGGGGGUGUUUUCUCUAAUUCUCUCCAACAUCUCGGCUUGGAUUUGCUUCGCCUCCCCAAAAAUAGGUCUGGCCCAGCCUUCAGGACCCACCUGUUCUCAGCGAUCAGCCAGUGGGCAGGGACCAGCCUCCCUGGGGUGUUCACUUCUUUGGUGAUUCAGGGCCACGGGUCAGAGAGCAGAGUCAGCCGCUGAUGACAUUUCCCUGCCAGGAUGCAGAGCAGGUGAGGGCCUCCUGGUCCACCCUUGGAGAAGGGACCAAGGAGGUUCUAUGCAAGUCAGUUAAACCACAGAGCAGACCUUGCAACACCUUCCUCCUGAGGCCUUGGGACCAGACGGGGGUAUGCAGGCAGACACCUACACUUGCAUAGCCAAACAAUUCUACGGCCCAUUCUUCUAACUCUAGAAUAAGUGCAUAAUAACACCAACCGAUAUUUGUGGGGACUUACUGUGGCCAGGCGCUAUUCAGUUAAAGACUUUAUGUGUAUCACCUCAUUACGGGGUGCCUGGGGGCUCAGUCAGUUAAACGUCUGACUUCGGCUCAGGUCAUGAUCUCCCAGUUCACAAGUUCAAGCCCUGCAUCAGGCUCUGUGCUGACAGCCCAGAGCCUGGAGCCUGCUUUGGAUUCUGUGCCUCCCUCUCUAUCUCUGUCCCUCCCUUGCUAGUAUUCUGUCUCUCUCUCUCUCAAAAAUAAAUAAAAACAUUAAAAAAAAACAAAACUCGGGGCGCCUGGGUGGCGCAGUCGGUUAAGCGUCCGACUUCAGCCAGGUCACGAUCUCGCGGUCCGUGAGUUCGAGCCCCGCGUCGGGCUCUGGGCUGAUGGCUCGGAGCCUGGAGCCUGUUUCCGAUUCUGUGUCUCCCUCUCUCUCUGCCCCUCCCCCGUUCACGCUCUGUCUCUCUCUGUCCCAAAAAUAAAUAAAACGUUGAAAAAAAAAAAAAAAAAAACACAACACCAUAGGCAGUGGCAUAGGGAUGUCCCCUUUGCACACAGGGAGCUGGGAUGUGAACCCGGGCAGGCUGGGAAUACUGUGCCUGUAGCGCUCAUGAAUGAAAACAAAGGGAUCUGCAGAAGGGCCCCACAACCUUGCACAAAUGGGAUCCGAUCUGUGGCCCAGUCACCAGAGGACAAAAGCAUGGGUCCUGACUGUUCCACACACUGAGUGUGCAAUGCGGCUCAUUCCAGCCUGGAGUAAGAGUCCCUGGAUCCCCCACCACUCUGCACUCCAGGAACCUGUGGCCCAGGGCAGCUCAAGACCUCCUGGACCCUUUCUUUUGUAACAUAAGGAGACAGCCUACACUGCUUCACCCCUCCCAGUGCCAAAAGGCCACUUAUCACUUAGGGUGACUGUACUUAAGCCCCCACUACCCCCCCCCCCCGCAGGGAAUCCAGGCUGAGCCCACCACGCCUUCUCCCUGCCCCUGCCCUAAGUGCUGGGCCAGAAGGUGGGAGACCCCAGUCUCGGCUCCCGCUUGGUGGAAUGUUUGGCACCUCCUGCCUCGUUUUUCUCAUCUGAUGCAUGGCUGGAAUGUCCUCCAGUGCACCCCCACUUUACAAGGUUUGGGGGAAGAUCAGAUGAGAGGAUGAAUCUGAAGACCCUAUAGGGACUGGGAGGCCCUGGGCCUGGUGAAGAGUUUGGGCCCGUGGUGUGUCUCUGAACCCCCACGUGCUGGUGUCUCCCCGCCUCUGGAGCGGGACGGGAUCUGCAGGGAGAGGACGGUGGCUGGUACUGGGCCUAACUGCCCCUCCAUCACCUGACUGUCCAGCUGCCCCCUAUGGCAGCGGACCCUGCCCAGGGGUGAAGGAACAGGGACGGGAGGAGAGCGGCCAGCCACAGCCGGAGCAGGAAAGCUGGGGAGCCAGGCUGGAGUCCCAUAUGGAACAGGAGGCCGCUGAGUAGGGACCACCACACUUCCCAGCCCCGGGAAGGGCAGGGGUCACUGGAGAGCCCAGGAAAUCCCAUCAGGAAUAGUGGCGCACCUGUGUGUUUGCCAGAGGUGACCUGGGCCCGUGGCCACAGGCGCUGGGUCACCUCUUGCUGCAGCAAAGCCUCAGUCUGGUUCUGACUUUUGGUCCUCAGUGUGUUCUGUCUCCCCUAUUGUUCUGGGGCACCUGCUGGACUUGUGCACCCCUUCUUUCCCCCGAGAGUUUUUCGGCUACUCUUGGGGCUUGCUCACCCUGUAUGGCAAAUAUUUCCUUCCUGGUUUAUGUCUCCGGCUCUUCUGGGCUUAUAAUGGCUCAGUGGACAUUUCUGCCUAGAAAUGUCUGGAUUUUGCUGAAGUUUCCCCUCAGCAUACACCACACACAAGAGGUGACUGAGAUUUUUAUCACGCAGUCCUCAACACCAGGUCCUGCAGGGGAAACCAAGAAGUAUGAGGCAAAGCCCCUGCCCUGGGCAAUUCAUAAUCUAGUUUUUUGGGGUUUUUAAAAUAAUCUAGUUAUUCAAAAGUGAGAGGUGCCUGGGUGGCUCAGUUGGUUAAGCAUCCAACUUCGCCUCAGGUCAUGAUCUCAGGGUUCGUGAGUUUGAGCCCCGCGUCGGGCUCUGUGCUGACAGCUCAGAGCCUGGAGCCUGCUUCAGAUUCUGUCUCCCUCUCUCUCUGCCCCUCCCCCACUCAGGCUCUGUUUCUGUCUCUAAAAAAUGAAUAAACCUUAAAAAAAAUUUUUUUAAUAAAGGACUAGGCAAAAUGCCUCUAAAGUUCCACACUGUUCUAGGGUGAGGAGAGAAAGGCUUAAAGAGGACUCUAGGAUUUUGAACAACAGGUGAGAAGUCAGGAGAGGAAGCAGGUUCGGGGAGAAGACUUCAUUCAGUUUUAAGUAAACCGAGUGGACCUCAUCACGACCCUUCCUUCCCCCAGGUUCCAGGUGCCACUGCCACAGACUGACCUGGUGUGUCCCCGCCGGCUCCUCCGCCACGUCCCUCCUCUGGGCGUGUGACCCUGGCUGCGGCAAGGUCAGAGCAAGAAAGACGGACUGACCUUUGCUCCAGGAUAUUUGUCAGCUUCUCUCAGUGAAUAAACAGCUUUGCCGUCACCAACACAGUCUUUCUGGAAACUCAGCUGGCGCUGCUGAGUGCCCAAAGGUGAGGGUGGGAUCCCCGAAAUUGACAAUUGAGUUUCCAUCGCCCUAGGGUCAGGAAAGCUUGAAACAAAUUAUUGAGAAAGAAAUUGAAAUGUGGUUCCUUCAGACCUGUGUUCCAGCACCCAGAUUAGGACCCGGUUCACAGGCAAACCUCCCCAUGAGUGGUUUAGAUGAGGGGCCUCAUGCCCGGGCGUGCACCCAUCACCCAUGGAGCUCAGGAACGAGAUCACCUAGACUGGGGACCCGGCACCUGUAAUUUAAUAAUCCCCACGGGUGAUCGGCAGGCACACCUGAGUGACAGGCCCCCUUGGCCUGGAGAGGACUGCCAUGGCCAGAGGGUUGGGCCAGGGAGAGACAUGGACAGAGAUGGUCCUGGGACACCAGGAGUUCCCUCAGAGAGACUGAGCUGGGGCUUGGCAGGUGGAUGUUCCGAGCACAGAGGGGAGGGAGAGCAGAGGGCCUUCUAGCACAGGCCCUGGCUGAGGGGCUCAGCCUGUUUGGGGUGGGGGUGAAGUUGGAGAGGCUAGCUGUGGCCACAGGGCAAGGCUCUGAAUGCCAAGCUCAGAGCCAGGUAGAUACUGACGCUGCCAAGAGCAGGGAAGGCUGUGAGCAGAGAAGGGAGACCCUCUCCAGUACCGGUGGGCCCUUGUUUGUGCAUUCAGGGCUUUUGAGGCCCCUGAAUGAGCCAAGGCCUGUGGUCAGAGGGCAAGCCCACACUUCCUCCUGCCUCAGCUCGCCUUUCCUUCACAUCAUGCCCCAACUCUUCUAUUUCUGACUUCAAGUCCUUGGCAUGUACGAAAUUCUUGCCUCUCCUUUGGCAGCCCUGCCUGCCUCUGUACCCUUAUUCUUACCCUUUUAUGUCUGCCUUUCUUAGGCCUUCAGCACAGUCUGUCCAGAUUAAUUUGACACCAAACUGGCUUUCUCCAGAAAGGCAGGGAAAGUUCUAGGCACAAGAGUGAGAUUCAUGUGGGGAGAAUUACCGUGGCCCCUUCUUUAAGGCAGUUAGAGUCCUGUGUGUCCAGUAACAACCCAUGAAGAAAGAAGCUAUAUUCUUGAUGCACAGGUAGUAGAAAUGACUUGCUCACAUUCUGGCCCAGAGACUCUGGCUCUGCUCUGUAACAGUGAAAGUGACACCUUCCUCAAACCGUGACUAGGACCCACAUUGCUUCCAGAACCUGCUCUCUCUGUAUACCUCUGCUCUGGUGGGAAAAUUCUUUUUUUUUUUUUUUUUUAAUUUUUAAAAUGUUUUUAUUUUUGAGAGACAGAGAGAGAGCACAAGUGGGAGAAGAGCAGAGAGAGAGGGAGACACAGAAUCCAAAGCAGGCUCCAGGCUCUGAGCUGUCAGCACAGAGCCCGACACGGGGCUUGAACCCACAAGGCAUAAGAUCAUGACCAGAGCCAAAGUUGGACACUUAACUGACUGAGCCACCCAGGCGCCCCAUCUGAUGGGAAAAUUCUUAAUUUACUUGUACAAUUAGGUGAGGGGUUGGAAAUUGGGCCCAUUUAUCACAUGGACUUUUAUUCUCUCGUAGAAGCCUCUUUGGGCUGAGAAGAUAUGUGUCUGUCACCCUCCUUACUUGGGAAAAUGCACUGUGUCCUGCUCUGAAUUCACAUCUGUAGUUGAUCUUGGAACUGGUCACAGUACUAUGUGUGGCCAGUACAUGAAGUGCACUCCCAGACCCAAGACCGAAACAAUAGGUUGCUGUGUUUUCUCAGAGUGCUUGGAGUCCUCGAGCCUCAUCCCCACUACCACUAGCCAGUGCUUGUCCUUCUUUCUGUGACCUGGCCCAUCUUCCCAAGGCACCUUUCCCAUCAGCUCCUGCUGAACCCAAGCCAGUCCACAGCACCACACACUGUGGUCCCAGAGCCCCAGGGCGACAAGGAGUCCGCCAAGCUGGGAAGACAUCACAGAACUCAGUCCUGGUGGCACACGUCUGGUGCCAGAUUUCUUAGGAAGAAAAUCAGCUUCUGCCCAGACAGCAACAUAACUUUUUCCCCCAAUCCCUGGCACAGAGGCCGGGCCACGAUCGCCAACCUGCCGUGAGAACACAGGAAUAUGUCCACUCUGUCACCGGCAAGUCCUGGCAGAGUCUUGCUGUGUUCUGAGACAGCACCCUCAGUGGAGAACUCCGGGCAUCAUGUCGAGGCAGCUUGAAGUCUUCACUGGAGCCAGAGUCUUGAUCUAUGUGGCCCAUCAACUAAAAAAAAAGUUUGAACAGCAUCAUUAACCUAACACGACUUACUUUUCCAUAGGACUCUAAGCUUUCACAUGCAUGCUGUCAUUUUUAUUUUGGUUUUCACAGUGGCCUGUGAAGUAGGUAAGCUGGAUACUGUCGUUAGUCGACGUUCAGAGGUGACAGAGCAGCAGCUUAGCGUGUCUCAGGCCACACGACCCCCAAAUGGCAGAACCGGGACUGGAGUCUGGAUCAGCACCGUCCCCUGACGGUUAACCUCUUCGGGACCCAGUGCCAAGUCUCCCCAGCUUGCAGCAGCAGCGACCGCACGGACCACCAUGGGCUCCCAGGCCCCGCCAGCUGCAAGGGCACGCAGACACUGAUGAAUGUUCUCGAAGAUCCUAAAGACAAGGCUGAGCGGAAGCUUGCAUCAGAGGGACAGGUCCUGGCCAAUUGUUCCCCAUCCCUGGUGACAGGUACCAUCUUAUUAAAUCUGUAAAUCGGUUGUGCUGAGACUAUAACAGAGGAUAUCGUCUGAGGAACCUUCCAAUUUAGCAGACAAUGAGUAUCCGCAAACAUUUUGGGGGCCUGAUCCAGAAGCUCUAGCUUAUGGCCAUGUCUUCCAAACACAUAUGGAAGAAGAUACGCACAUGGGUCCAAACCACUUAGCACAGUUGUCAAAGGACUGAUGAUACUGUAAACUUAAUGGCUGCCAAGGUUAUGUCCAAUCAAUUCAUUCAGUUCCAUAAAG
rnacentral:lncRNA from 1 species